rnacentral:rRNA from 1 species
AUUGAACGCUGGCGGUAUGCCUAACACAUGCAAGUCGAACGGCAGCACAGUAAGAGCUUGCUCUUACGGGUGGCGAGUGGCGGACGGGUGAGGAAUACAUCGGAAUCUACUUUUUCGUGGGGGAUAACGUAGGGAAACUUACGCUAAUACCGCAUACGACCUACGGGUGAAAGCAGGGGAUCUUCGGACCUUGCGCGAUUGAAUGAGCCGAUGUCGGAUUAGCUAGUUGGCGGGGUAAAGGCCCACCAAGGCGACGAUCCGUAGCUGGUCUGAGAGGAUGAUCAGCCACACUGGAACUGAGACACGGUCCAGACUCCUACGGGAGGCAGCAGUGGGGAAUAUUGGACAAUGGGCGCAAGCCUGAUCCAGCCAUACCGCGUGGAUGAAGAAGGCCUUCGGGUUGUAAAGUCCUUUUGUUGGGAAAGAAAAGCAGCAGGUUAAUACCCCGCUGUUCUGACGGUACCCAAAGAAUAAGCACCGGCUAACUUCGUG